GUCCGCGGGAGCUAGGCUGUGGGGAGCUGUGCAGGCUGCGGGGUCUACCUUCCAGCUAGUCCAGCGCCUGGCGGCUCAACCCGCAGCCCUCAGCUCUCAGCCAGGAUGCUCCUCAGCUUCCGCAGGAACCGCCGGAGCCAGUUCAACCACAUCAUCCAUGGCUUCCUCCCCGCAGCCAGCAUCGCUCCGAAGCCAGCGGUGCCACGCACACCCCCUCCUCGGAGCCCCAACCCUUCUCCAGAGAGGCCCAGGUCUGCUCUGGCUGCAGCCAUCCUGGCAACCACGUUGACUGGGCAGACAGUUGCCAUUCCCCAGCCUCGCCAGAGAUCUCGGUCUGAGAGUGAUGCCUCCGACAUUGAAAAGGACAGCUUCAUCAAGCCUUACGCCACCACUUCCGAGCUGAGGCUGCGGCAAAGCUGGCAGAAUGAGCCGAGAAGGACGUCAUUACCAUCCUUUGAGAUGUUAGGCUACGGGGAGGAUGAAGAUGCUGAAACACAGGUGUCAACCAGCUGCAGGGAGUCAGAGUCCACCUGGAAGGAUGUGGGAGAUGGCAGAGAUGCUACAUACACUGUGCCUCACAGGGACCAGGUACUGCCAUCCCAAAAGCUGGUGAGAAAGGAUGAUGCUCCUCAACCAGACUGGCUUUCAGACUCCUCCUCCUCCUCCUCCUCCUCAACACCACAGCACACUCAGCAGAAAGAUGUUAAACACUCUGUUCUGAAUCUAGAGGGUGAGAAAGUCCGGUUGCAUGAAAAGCCUCCUCCCUCCCCAGAUGUAGCUGGUAGAAUACAUCAAAGAUAUACAGAAAUAACCAAAGAAAAGUUUGCGGAGUUAAAAGAAGAAACUGUGCAUCUGUACUCUGCAAACCAAGCCCUCAGCUGUGAACUGAGCGCUCUGAGACAGGCAAUGAAGGACUUACAGCUGAAGCUCAAGUUGGUGGAAAAAGACAACAGGAAGCUGAAGGAGACGGAAAAGGCUUCCUGUCAGGAAGGAGUCACACCUGAAUUGCUUUGCCUAAGGAAGCAAAGCCAAGACCUGGUGGAUGAAAACGAGGGGCUGAAGAUGAUUGUCCAUCGAUUGAACGUAGAACUCAGUCGCUACCAAACAAAAUUCAGGCCUUUGUCUGAGGAAGAGAGUUCCCAUAUCCAAGGCCUCCCAUCCAAGGGCCCCACACCACCCUGGUUGGUGGAUAUAAAGUAUCUCUCACCACUGUUGCUGGCUUAUGAAGACAGAAUGAAAGAGAAGGACAAACUCAGCACCGCCCUGGAGGAGGAAAUGAAAACCUUUAGGCUUCGAGUUCAGGAAGUCGUGAAGGAAAACGAAGCCUUGCACCAAGAGUUAACUAAGAGAAGCCCCGUCACCGUAGAGGAAUGGAGGCAGCUUCAGACUCAAGCAGAGCUGGUUCUAGAUGAGAACAAGCUGCUGAUAGAGCAGUUGGAGAUUCAGCAAGCAAAAGCCAGGGACACCCACCAGGCGCACCUCCAGGACGUUUCUAAGCUGACUAAACAACUUGUGCUCCUGGAAGCAAAGACUCAGGGCCAGGAAAAGCAGCUCGUGGAAAGCACGGAGCAGCUGGAGAGCUUGCAGGCCAAAUGCACAGAGCUCAAGGCACAGCUGGAUAGCAAGAUCGCAGUGGACGUCCAUACAUCAAUUGUCAAUGAACUAAAAAGCCAGUUGCAAAAGGAAGAAGAGAAAGACAGUGCUGAGAUGGAGGAGCUGAUGGCAAAGCUGACGGCCCUACAGGUGCAGAAGAAGAGCCUGCUUCUGGAGAAGAGCAGCUGGGCCACCAGGAACAGAGCGCUAGAGGCCGAGCUGGAGCGCACGCGCAAGGCCAACAGGCGAUACCAAAAGAGAAUUGAUGUCCUCAGAAAGCAAGUAGAAAAGGCCAUGGGGAAGGAGAUGUCUGCUCACCAGUACCUGGCAAACCUGGUGGGCUUGGCAGAGACUGUCACCAAGGAACGAGACAGUCUUAAGUAUUUGAUGCUGGAGAAGCGCACAGCCAGCAAGAACCUGGCACGGUUCUAGACACUUCCACACUGAUUCAAAAAGAUGUCCGCAGCAGAUUGUGUGGUCGGAGAAGACAGCUGCUCUCUGUGUCAAGCCAUGUGCGUUCAGAAAGGUCUGGUAGAUUCCCCCAAGCUCUGACAGUGAGUUGCCUCCAAGGGGCGGACUUCCAGGCUCAGUGUUUAGAGAGCGAGAAGCAUGGGGUCCUCAACAAAAUCCUGAAAGGCAACAUUCGCCUGGGCAAGCUGGAGGAGAGGGUAAAGGGGUACAAGAAGCAGGCAGCACUGAAGCUGGGGGAUAUCCAUCACCGCCUGAAGGAACAGCAGGAGGACUUUGCCGGCAAAGCAGCUCAGUACCAGAAGGAGGUGAAGCACCUACAUCGGAUGCUGCAGGAAAAGCAGGAGGUCCUGGAUGAGGCGCUGCAGCAGAAAAGAAAUAUGGAAGGUGAGCUUGAAAUGGUCCUGGAGUCCACUGCCAAGGAGAACAGGAGGAUGCGGAGCCUUCUCCAGGCCACCCUGGAGAGAAGAAGCACACAGCACGUCACAGCUCCUCCGGACACUUGCUUGAGACGCUCCUCUCAGGGAGACCUACUGAUUGGCCAUGAUUUCAGCUAUGGUGAUGUGCAGCUUCUGGCUACCACCAACCGCCAGAGUCUGGGGGAAUCUAUGGCGUAGAUCUCCUGUCUGAGGUGUCUACUUCCUCCUCUCCUCAGGAGGGCCAGUGUGACAAGAAGGCCCGUGGAAGCCACUGAGUGUCAUAGGCAAGGGAGAAAUAAACCAGCCCCGGCAUCACACACUUUUGCAUGUUUAUUUCAGUUUCUUUCUUUCUCUCUCUCUCUCUCUCUCUCUCUCUCUCUCUCCCCCCCCCCCUUAUGUGUUGAACCUAAGGGUCUGCACAUGUGGAACACAGAGGUUACUGCACCGCACCACAGCUCUCCUUUUCUGAGGCAGGGUCUCGCUGAGCAGGCCAGGCUGGCCUUGAGUGUUUGAUCUUCAUGCCUUUCCCUCCUGAGUGACCUACCACACGCCUCUCCAUAUUUUCCUUUAAUGACUUGCUACAUGUUUAGUGAGAUGCAGCCUCUGGUCACAUUGCCCUGAGGUGGCUCUGUGACACCCAUCAUCUCAGCACUCCUAGCUAGGCAGCUGAGAAAGGCCUGGAAGAAAUGGAGAUGCUGUGUGGUACCUAUCAACCGAGCAGUAAGUAAGUGACAGGCAUGAGCAGAAAGACUCAGCGGGGGUUUAAGCUAUGUGACAUCUCCCUAGGAGGUGAUCUAGCAGAUAACUUUGAUGUCUUGUCAAAGGGCUUUACACUCACUGUCCCAAAAUCUGAAGACAGUAAGGCAGUGUCCUGCAGGGCAGGGGCUUCUCCACUAUUGUCCUGACCCAGAGAAUGUCUUUGUCCACUCUGUAAGAUCACUCUUCUACCCUGUGCUGCUGCUUCAUAAGACAUUGAAGUGGGCUAUCCUCAGGGCCACCUUGUGACCAAGGAAGGGGUCCAGGUGGUACAGUUCCUGUGUGCUGUCCCACUUCAUGCUAGAUCUUACAGGAAACAGGCCGUGGGCUGAGCCCCCAGCACACAGGUGGGCAAACAAAGCAGAGAAUGGGAGGCUGUAGAGGGGCAGACAACCUGCAGGACUGGAGAGACCAUAGGCACUUCAUCGAGGGAGGGACAGGGGCUGCUGCAGAAGAAGCAGACACAGGCACCCAGGGUCAGCACCAGGGUCAACGUGUGCUUUGUGGAGGUGAGCUGGGACUCUGGCAAGGGUCUUGUCCAUUUCAUCCUAGUGACCUCCAGGAAAGCAUGCUUGUGUUUCUGGGUCCUGAUGCACCACUGCAAGACACAGCAGGUGACCUCGGUUUUCAUGUUGACCCACGCAGAAGAGUGUGGGGAUCAGAAGUGACAUCUUACCUAUGCAAUUAAAGAAGUGACAAGCCUG